GAACUCCUUUCUGCCUUCUUGCCUUUGAAGGUGCUUGGCUCACUUCCCUCUCCUUCCCUGAAAGAACGUGUCCUUGUCAGAGAUGAGGAAAAGAGGUCUCAGCUUCAUUUGGUAUUCUCUUCCUUCUCGCCAAAGCACCUAAGUGCCUUCCACACUCCCAGAACGUCAGGGAACAUCAGCAAGGCGGGAGAAGAGGGCCCCCAAACCCGCGCCCCACGGUGCGGGAAGGGCUGGCUCACUCCGCUGACUUCCAUUAAACAUUUGACGCAUCGUAGAACUGCCGAAAGCCAUCCAUCACGGCCACCCCCCGCCGCCUGCCUUCCUGACCUACUCCCAGAGAGGGGGCCUCGGCCCCUGUUCGCCGGCACUCGGGAAGCAGAGGGCAGGAGAGGGGACAGCAUUGGCCAUGCCCUGCGCCCAGGGGCUGCCUCCUUCCCCUGAACAAGGGUCUGAGAAAGAGCUGCAGGGUUGGCUGAGUCCUAAUAAUCACAAGACUACCACUUAUUGAAUGCCUGGUGUGUUCCGGGCAGACCUAAACACCUUACGUGUCUUAUCUCAUUGAACCCUGUAACUACGACAGGUAGUUAUCAUUGCCAUUUGAUAGAUGCAGAGCCCGGCGUUCAGGAAAGUUUGGUCACUGGCCGACAGUCACCCUGAAGGUGCUAGAGCCACACUGAGCUCAGGUGUGUGAGACCAGGACUCCCCUCAUCCCUUCUCCGUUCUGGGAUGGGGGGGGGGAGGAGAGGUGCUCAGCAGGGAGGUGGAGGUGGAGCCUGAGGGUCCCAGUGCACUUGGUGGUCACAGUUCCCAGGGGAGGAUGGCCCUGGCCAGGGCAGGUCUGGGGGCUCCAGGACAGAAGGGGUCACAGGACAGGUGUCCACUCCCUCUAACCAGUUACUCCAGCCAGUCGCUCCCCGUAACCAGUUACUCCAGCCAGAACCUGGCUCCUUCUGGCAUGUCCCACCCCCUCAGUGUCCAGUCUCUUAGCUCUCCCUGCGAACUGUUCUGCAAUCCCUAAUCCAUCCCCCUUUCCUGUCACAGCCUGCUCACAGGGGACUGCUCUAGCUCCUGAAUGUCUUGCCGGUGUCCUGUUUCCUGUCCCCACUGUAGCCAAAGGGACUGUUCAGAAGCCCGCAUCUGCUUGCUCACUCCUCUGCUUAACUUGGGGUAAGGCCCACAUGCCCUCGUCUGGCCUGCCUUCCAGGGCUCCUCCCCUCUCCAGGCCCCUCUUGCCCCUCACCCCUGCCUGGUGCCUCCUUGCUCGAGCUGGUGCGUCUGCUCCCGCUUUGCUCUCAGCAGGGACACCAUCUCAUACCUCACCUGGCUAACUCCGGCUGAUCACUCAGACCCCAACUUAGAUGUGAGUUCUUCCAGGGAGGCUUCCCUGGUAUGCCAGGCUGGGCUUAGGGGACCCUUUUAUGUGCGUCCCUCCAUUAUGGCACAAACCGCACUGUCCCCGGUUGCUUCCCUGCUUGUCACCCUCUACUGACCGUCAGCUCCAGGGAGGCAGUGAGUGUGUCCGCCUGACCCCCGUUCUUCCAGGGUUUAGCACGGGGCCUGUUCUGGAACAGGCCCUGCAUACAGGAAUGAAUGAUGUGAUGAAUGAUUGAAUGAUGCCUAUUAAGGCUAAGACGAGGCCCGGAAGGUAUGGCAUGGAUCAGGGGUUCAGAUCCAGGCAGCAUCCCUACAGGAGGAAGCAGUGUGGUUUUUGAAGUUUGAACACCUAGAUUUAAAACCUGACCCUACUGCUCACGAGCUAUGUGUCCUUGGGCUUGGCCUCUCCAAGCCUCAGUCUGUUCACACGCAACACAGGGGUAAUAGUACCUGCUUUGCUGAGAACUUGUGGAGACAGGCCUUGGGGAUAAUGCUUGUGCAGCACUGGCCCCGUGGUGGGCCCCAAAGAGGAUAGUUAGGGACUGAGCAGAGAGCUUAGGUAUCCCCCACUGGGCACAAGGCCAGGGCCAGGCUGGAAGCCUCUCUGACACCGGGAGGUGGGGCUGACGGGCCUGGGCUCUGCAGUCAGGAGGCCUGAGGCCUGGAUCCACGGGAGAGGAAAAGAGGGAGACACAAAGCGUGCGUUUCGCCACCCUGCCGCAAGGCUGGCCUGCUGAGGCUGGGCUCUCACCAGUUAGCAGACACUGAGAUUUACCAGUGUGGUGAAGCAGAGGCCCAGGGAGGGAGCUGUCUCACCCAGAGGGUUUGGAAUACUGGAGUGCGGUAGAAGGGAGGUGGGGCGUGGGGAGGGGAGCAAACGACCAUUUAGUAGUUAUCACUACUGUGAGGCAGGCACUUUGAAUCUUACUUAAUAUGUCAGCCAGUCAAGUCAAGUCAAGUCAAGUCAAGUCAAGUCAAGAAAAAUCUUACUUUAAAGUCAGCCAGGCGCCCCCAAUUCUGGGUACGUGAUGGUGCAUAUGGUGUGUGAAAUGGGUAUAAAAUGGUACCUUCUCAACCACUGCAGUGAGCCUAGGCGACACGUUGCACAGGAAAUACCCAGAGCCCCUAAAUGCAAGUUUACCGUGGAACGUUUAGAAAGGCUUGUUGGUAGAUAUCCCCAUCUCCAGAUGAGAACAUUAGGUCCAGAGAGGUGAAGCCAGAGCCUAGGGCCACGUGGCCACUGUGGACCAGAGGGACAAAUGACCUGGUCCAGGCCGUAAGCCAGGGAGUUUGGUCGGCAGAUCCACCGGGGUACCUCACAUGGUGGGGAGUAUUUUUCUCAUCCUACUCAUGUUGCACUUCUUAAUUUCAAGUGGGAAAUUCCACAUUGGGCGCCUCAUCAAUCAUUUUUGUGAGCUCAGCUCUGUGGAAAGCAUGGAAAACAUUUAUAUUUGCAGCUCAAACUGUCGAAAAUGUAAAACAAUUUAAAUAAUAUUAACAUUUUAACAGCCUCCACUCACGGCUCUGUGAAAUUAACCAUUAUCUCUUGGAGUGUUUGUUAAAAUUCAGCAGCGGGUAAGUGGUGAGGUCCUGUGUGCGGCAGCGUGGUUCCCGGAGCAUGGUCACAGACACCUCUCACCUGGGUCGGGUGCUGGAGGCAGAGAGAUGAAAGUGACAUACAUUCUACCCUUCUGUGGCGGAGGAGGUGAUCGGAAAAACGUACACUAGAGUAGGGCAUGUGCUAUACACAUGAGAAGGGAGUGCUGGUGUCCUGGGAGCAUUGAAGAGGGAAUCAGGAGCACUUCCUGGAGGAGGCGGCCUCUGUGCACCAGGCAGUCACUGAACAAGGGAACAGGUCAUCCCCAAGGCCUCGCCUUAACCUUUGAGAGUCAAAGAGGGGCUGCAGUCUAUUCUCGGCACUGAGGAGGAAGGGGCUCCAGUGUGGUGGUGAUUCUGUCUGGUUCUUUCUGAGCCCUGCACACUGAUCUGGGAGAGGGAAGGGAGGAUGACUGGGGUAAAUACUUUCUAAGCAGCUGGGUGGCUAGGGGUGAGGAGCCUAGAAAAGCCAAGACUGAGGGGAAGCAUGAUAUUAUUUUCAAAUAAUGGGAAUGAGGGAUGGGUUCUUUUGACAACUUCAGUAGGAACCUCUGGGCUUUGUAGACAGGUGUUAGGACUCUGAACUUGGUAUCUCCUUAUCUAAGAAUGAAUGGUGAGCUUCCUGUCCUUGGCGGAUGAGCAGGUGGAGGGUGAAGUGCCUGGGACUUGUAAAAGGGAUUCUUGCAUGGGACAUUUGUCCAACCCUGCUGUGGGACAGGCCUGGCUACAUACCGUCUCCUUGAAAGAGAGCCAGACCUGCUUGUUGUCCUUGAGGGGUGUAAUGGGCUGAAUUGUGUCUCCCCAAGUUCAUAUGUGGAAGCCCUAACCCCCAAAGUGACUGUAUUUGGAUGGGGCCUUUAAGAUGGUAAUUAAGGUUAAAUGAGGCUAUAAACCCGGGGCCCUAAUCCGAUAGGACGUUAUGACUGGUGUCUUUAUAAAAAGAGGCACAGACACCAGAGACCUCUCCCUCCCUGAGAGCACUCAGAGGAGAGGCCACGUGAGAAGCAGGAAUGUGGACACCUGCAAGCCGGGAAGAAAGCUCUCACCAGAAACCAGCCCUGACUGAACCUUGAUCUUGGACUUCUAGCCUUCAGAACUGUGAGAAAAUAAAUUCCUCUUAGUGAAGCCACUCCGGUGGUGGUACUUUGUGAAGUCAGCCCGAGUGGACUAAUACGGGGGCUCACAGUUUGGUGCCAGAGAUGCUAAGGUUGCUAAUUAUAAUGCAGCACAACACGGGACAGAGGGUGUAUGCACAGAGAAGAGUCACCCGGCUCUGCCAGGUGGGCAUCAGAGGAGGCUCCCUGGAGGAGGCAGGGGUGCUGGAGGUAGAGGCAGGAGGACAAGAAGGAGCUGGUUCUAAGGAUGGGGGAGAGGAAGUGGGAAGGGGUAUGCCGGGUGGAGGGGACAGAAUGUGCACAGACACAGAAGUGUUAAAAGAACGGUGGGUUUGGAGGCACUGAGAGGAAUCUCGUGGAACUAGAGUGCAGGUAGGGAGGGAAUGUGGGCGACGGAAGAGGUGGGGGCAGGCGGGGCCCACCCGCCAGCGAAGGCCCUUCUGUUGCCUUUCAGGGAAGGCCAUUUAGAAUUCUGUGCUCUCCAGACCCCCAGGGACUCCAUGCUUAGCGACUAACUUGCUGUAUGACCUUAGGCAAGUCAUUUAACCCCUCCACACAGCAAUUUUCUUAUUUGUAAUCGGAGAAGGAUCCCUGCCCUGCCCACCUCCCGGAUACUUUGUGGGCUCAAAAGCUAAUGCCUGUGAAAGCACUUUGGCAAAAGGCCCACAAUAGCGCCAUAGAGAUGGAAGGUGUUAUUAUUAUGUAACCGCACUGACUCCCAUCUGAGAAGCGCGGAGUCAAUUGGAGUCUUGAGGGAUGUCAGGGAAUUGGCUGCUCUCUGAAGCUUGUCAUAGAGACCCGUCUUUUCAUUGUACUCCUUUCAUAUCACUGUUGGCUCGAUGAAAGAAGGGGAAAGAAUCUUUGAUAUGUCUAAAUAUUCCGCUCCCACCAAGACGGGAGGGAUUCCGAGGAAGAGCUAUUAUUAGAGGCUGAGCUGGAAGCAGGCGCCUUUGGCGGAUCAGAGCUGUCAGCCUGCAUAAACAGCCUCCCGCGCUUGGGAGCCGGCUGGGCGGCCUCGGGCCUGGGCGCCGAGCAGGUGCUCUAACGCCGCUGGUUGCACUGCGAUGGGCUGACCUGGGAGAAAGGAGGACCAGCUUCCCGACUCUGCAUCUACUUUGCUGGGCAAGUCGCUUGUGCUCUCAGAGCCAAGUCAAGAUGUCAAGAUGAUGACAUAGUCCUUACCAACAGAGAGGGGCUGUUAUAUGCAGGGAAAAGAAGAUGCUGUGCUGUACGGAGGUCCGUGCAGGCCAAGAGGGGCCCGAGCACAGGCUGCCAACACCCUGGCUCAUGCUCCCCUGCUGUGGUCCAAGGUGGGUGUGAAGCUUGUGCAAGGACUGCAGGAGGAGUGCUAGAGGCACGCAGCGCUCCAGAUCCCCCUGUCUGACUCUCCUGAUAAUGAAGUAGCUGAGGCCCAGACAGGCGGUGCCAGACUGGACGUGGCACACGUCUCUUUCACCCACAUUCCAGAACCUACUCAUGUGCAAGGGAAGCUGGGAAGUGACGUCCAGCCAGACAGCCUUAUGCCCAGCUACCUUCCUGCGCUGACCCCAGUCUUCUCCUCACUUACUGUGUUCCAGUCCCCGAUCUCCCCGGCCAUUGAAGGCCCCCGCUCUUCCUACCCCAGGCCUUUGUAUAUGCUGUUCCCUCCUCCUGAAAUGCUUUGUCGCCCCGUGGCAUGGCUCAUUCUUCUUCCGUCACCCUUGCUGAUUGGCCUGUGGGCAGUAAGUGCUCUCCCUGUCACUCUG